rnacentral:rRNA from 1 species
GCUGGCUGUGUGCCUAUACUGCAUGUCGAAUCCACACUUGUGCUUAGUGGCAAAUGGGUUAGCAACACGUACUUAAUCUACCCCCAAGUUUGGGAUAACAGUUGGAAACAAUUGCUAAUACCCAAUACAUAUAAGUUUUGCAUAAUUCUUAUAUAAAAGGAGCGUUUGUUUCGCUAGGGGAUGAGAGUGCGCUACAUUAGUUAGUUGGUAGGGUAAGAGCCUACCAAGACUAUGAUGUAUAGCGGGGCUGAGAAGCUGAACCGCCACACUGGGACUGAGAUACGGCCCAGACUCCUACGGGAGGCAGCAGUAGGGAAUAUUCCACAAUGAGCGAAAGCUUGAUGGAGCAACACAGCGUGCAUGAAGACGACCUUAGGGUUGUAAACUGCUGUUAUGAGGGAAGAAAAAUAAAAUUAGGAAAUGAAUUUUACAUGACGGUACCUCAUCAGAAAGCACCGGCAAACUAUGUGCCGGCAGCCGCGGUAAUACAUAGGGUGCAAGCGUUAUCCGGAAUUAUUGGGCGUAAAGUGUCUGU